GGGUCAGUAGGUUGGUCGUGCCACCGGUACGUACUGGUCUCACUGAUUCCUCCUUCCUGAAGAACCGUAAUGCCAUUAAUUUGGUGUUGCGGGGAAACAGGACUGUUACUUUGAAAAAGUUAGAGUGUUUAAAGCAAGCUAACGCUUGAACACAUUAGCAUGGAAUAAUGAAAUAGGACGAUCGAUCCUAUUUUGUUGGUUUCUAGGAUUGACGUA
rnacentral:rRNA from 1 species